AUACGUAGGGGGCGAGCGUUGUCCGGAAUGAUUGGGCGUAAAGGGCGCGUAGGCGGCCCGGUAAGUCUGGAGUGAAAGUCCUGUUUUUAAGAUGGGAAUUGCUUUGGAUACUGUCGGGCUUGAGUGCAGGCGAGGUAAGUGGAAUUCCCAGUGUAGCGGGGAAAUGCGUAGAGAUUGGGAGGAACACCAGUGGCGAAGGCGACUUACUGGACUGUAACUGACGCUGAGGCGCGAAAGUGUGGGGAGCAAACAGGAUUCGAUACCCUGGUAGUCCACACUGUAAACGAUGAAUGCUAGGUGUAGGGGGUAUCGACCCCUUCUGUGCCGCAGUCAACACAAUAAGCAUUCCGCCUGGGGAGUACGGCCGCAAGGUUGAAACUCAAAUGAAUUGACGGGG
rnacentral:rRNA from 1 species